AGUCUUUUUUUUUUUCUGAAAACAGAUACCUGCCAGUGAGUGGUUUGCAUCAUGACAGUAGCAGACUAACAUGCUGAAAGGAUUCUGGCCCUUUUUGACCUGAUGUUUUUGAUGUUGUAAGUCAAGCAGCAGAAUACUUCAAUUAUGAUAGUGUAUGGUGCCCUUUGGAGAUCAGUGGUUAUAAUUAGUUGCCAUGACUUUUGUUGCUAUGGAUAAUGGAACCUUGUCUACAAUGAUUUUCAAGGUUUUAUGAUUAUUAUUUUUCACUUGUUUUGAAUUUUAAUUAUGAUUGAUUAUCUUUUGGCAUUGUCAUGCUUGACUUCAUUACGGAUAAACGAAGUGAACUCACUAGAUUGGUGGUGAUACUAUUAUUUAUUAUCUUGUUAUAUUGGCUGGCUGCUUUUGCCUUGUCAUCUCUUGUCAUACUUUGCACUUCGCCACAAAAUGGAUUUUACAGUCAAGACUAACUUGAGACCGAUUUAUAUAUAUGUGUGUGUGUGUGUGUGUCAUGUUUCCAUGCAUGCGUUUUUCCUUACAAGAUAACGCUAGUGUGGGAAGUUUUUCGAAGUUGGGCCAUUUAACAUUGGCAGCACAAAACUUGUUACCUACACCAAUUAAUCUUUGGAAGAGGAAGGUUGUGAAGGAUCCUGUGCGUAGAAGAUGUCAGAAUGAGAGAUCUCUUUCAAAACUGAACACAAUCUGAACCUUAAAUCGGAUUGGAUUCUGAUGGGAUGAAUAUGUCAGAUUAAUUUGGGAUAGGAUCAGACCAGGUUAAAUUCAAAUGACAAAUAUCAGUUGAAUUUGGGGGGGACGUCGAUGUGGUUACCAAUUGCCAAAGAAGGCUAAGAUUGUCUAGCCAAAUUGUGGGCAAAAGGAGAAUAAUAAGAGCAAUAAUGACAACAGAGCAUUGAUUUCCACCAAGUGUCAAUCCUUCAAGUUUAAUUGCCAUGUCUGGAAAAAGAUUCUCCAACUCCUCUCUUUCGAAGAUCAAGAAUCAAUUAGUAGAGGUGUAUGUUCAUGACAACUGAAACAAUUAGUCUUUCCUUCUUCCCAGAGGCUCGGUGCUGGCUGGUUCGGGAGUUGAUGUGGGUUUGGGGCUGCCGACUACGUUUGUGGCUGCGGGUUUGUGAAUCUGGCCAACGAUGUCAAUGCGGCUGGGUUCGUGGGUUUGGUUGGGUUCGUAGACUUUGUCUAAUUCAAGUUGACAAGUUCUUAUCCGAAUCCAAUCCAAUGCCUAGUCCUAGUAAGCAUGCUCAAAAGGUAUGGAAACUGACCGCUUUUCGUACGGUAAAUGUUGGGUGCACUUCAAGAGCUGGCAACGAGCAGAGCAUCUGAGCAUAUACUUUAGUGUGUCAGUGUAUGGUAGU
rnacentral:lncRNA from 1 species